CAGUAGCCGCGGUAAUACGUAGGUGGCAAGCGUUGUCCGGAAUUAUUGGGCGUAAAGCGCGCGCAGGCGGAUCAGUUAGUCUGUCUUAAAAGUUCGGGGCUUAACCCCGUGAUGGGAUGGAAACUGCUGAUCUAGAGUAUCGGAGAGGAAAGUGGAAUCCCUAGUGUAGCGGUGAAAUGCGUAGAUAUUAGGAAGAACACCAGUGGCGAAGGCGACUUUCUGGACGAAAACUGACGCUGAGGCGCGAAAGCCAGGGGAGCGAACGGGAUUAGAUACCCCGGUAGUCCCUGUCUCUUAUACA
rnacentral:rRNA from 1 species